CCUGUAAAAUGCUGCGAAAUAAUUAAAAAUAAACCGGAACGGAAGUGGAGAUGCGAGAUAUGGCAACAGUUGGCGGCAGAGGGUCCUUUGGUUUGGUUGGACUGAACUGGUGAUUCAUGAGUUGGCCGGAUGCAGGGCACGAAUUGAGGACAGGGCACAAAAUAAAAAAGUGGAAAGGAUAUAGCUGAGGGUGUUCGACUGUGAGAUACCCGGUAGCCAAAGUAUUGUGGAUAAAUUUGGACCUGGCUAAUUUUCCUUUUCAAAUUACAUUAUCUUAUAAAAAACUUAAAUUAAACAGUGUGGAAAGCAGAAGAAAAUAUUAACAAAUAAAGACAGAUGUUGCCAGGAACAUGUUGCGCAACAUCCAAGUAAAAAUAAAUGUUGCUAUAACCAUGUUGUGCAACACCCUAAACUUAAA